CAUCUUGGGGAACCUCCCCCAGCUCGGGACGAAGCCCCACCAGACGCUAUACCACCUUUCCCACGUCCAUGGCCCCCUCAUGCACCUCCGGUUCGGCCGCACCGACACCAUCGUCGCCGCCUCCGCCGCCGUCGCCUCCCUCCUCCUCAAGACCCACGACGCCAACUUCGCGGGCCGCCCACUCAGCUCCGGCCCCAAGGUGAUGGCCUACGACGGGCACAGCGUCGCCUGGUCGCCCUACGGCGACCGGUGGCGCGCCAUCCGGAAGAUUUGCAGCCUCCACCUCUUCUCCACCAAAGCGUUGGAUGGCUUCCGCCACAUACGUCAAAGCGAGGUGGCGGCGAUGGCGGCGGGCUUGGCGGCGGCGACGGCGGCGGCGGCGG
rnacentral:lncRNA from 1 species